rnacentral:rRNA from 1 species
UACGAAGGGGGCUAGCGUUGCUCGGAAUCACUGGGCGUAAAGCGCACGUAGGCGGCUUACUAAGUCAGGGGUGAAAUCCUGGAGCUCAACUCCAGAACUGCCUUUGAUACUGGUGAGCUUGAGUCCGGAAGAGGUGAGUGGAACUGCGAGUGUAGAGGUGAAAUUCGUAGAUAUUCGCAAGAACACCAGUGGCGAAGGCGGCUCACUGGUCCGGUACUGACGCUGAUGUGCGAAAGCGUGGGGAGCAAACAGGG